UGAAACCGUUUAGGGGUAAACCUGAGAAACCCGAAAGGUCGAAGGGAGAAAUUCAUUCGCGUUUCGUAGAAGACGUCUGACGGUCCUGCGACGGUUAUGCGUUUACGUAUUUCCGCGCGUUCUCGUUUUGUACGUAUCGUUUACGAACGCGUGCACUUUUCUUCCGGUAGGACGUCGCGAUCCGUCCGGUGUCGAUUUACGGUUCGAGAGUGGAGCCCGUAAGCGGCGUUUUUACGAACGAACGCAUACGGACCUUUCGAUACCCGAUCGACUGCUAGACGGUAUGAAAAUAACGGUUCGGGGCCGCUUUUAAAGCGUUCGACUCGUGGCAAGCGCAUCGGCCUCUACGACGAUCGGACCUAGUGCCGAUUUCGUUAACCGGUGACUGUUGGCCAUCGAUGUUCUCGAACAGACCCUUUUUUAGAACUGAUCAGCGACGCUAUUGUUUUGGGUACUUUCAGGACCCGUCUUGAAACACGGACCAAGGAGUCUAGCAUGUACGCGAGUCAUUGGGAUUUAUAUUAAACCUAAAGGCGUAAUGAAAGUAAAAAUCUUUCUCGUAAAGAUUAAGGGAAGACGAGCGAGAUUUUUAUCGUCGCUCCGCAUUCCCGGGGCGUCUCGUUCUCAUUGCGAGAUGAGGCGCACCAAGAGCGUACACGCUGGGACCCGAAAGAUGGUGAACUAUGCCUGGUCAGGACGAA
rnacentral:rRNA from 1 species